rnacentral:rRNA from 1 species
UAGGGAAUCUUCCGCAAUGGACGCAAGUCUGACGGAGCAACGCCGCGUGAGUGAAGAAGGAUUUCGGUUCGUAAAACUCUGUUGUUAGAGAAGAACAGCGCAUAGAGUAACUGUUAUGCGUGAGACGGUAUCUAACCAGAAAGUCACGGCUAACUACGUGCCAGCAGCCGCGGUAAUACGUAGGUGGCAAGCGUUGUCCGGAUUUAUUGGGCGUAAAGCGAGCGCAGGCGGUCAAUUAAGUCUGAUGUGAAAGCCCCCGGCUCAACCGGGGAGGGUCAUUGGAAACUGGUUGACUUGAGUGCAGAAGAGGAGAGUGGAAUUCCAUGUGUAGCGGUGAAAUGCGUAGAUAUAUGGAGGAACACCAGUGGCGAAGGCGACUCUCUGGUCUGUAACUGACGCUGAGGCUCGAAAGCGUGGGUAGCAAACAGG